rnacentral:rRNA from 1 species
CUUUACUGCAACUUGACGUUGGAACUUGGCUGUAUUUGUGUAGGAUAGGUGGGAGACUUUGAAGCAGGGCCGCCAGGUCUUGCGGAGUCGUCGUUGAAAUACCACCCUGGUGCUGACGAGUUUCUAACCGUGUCCGUAAGCCGGACAUGAGACAGCGUCUGGUGGGCAGUUUGACUGGGGCGGCCGCCUCCUAAAAGGUACGGAGGCAUUCAAAGGCCCCCUCAGCGUGGUCGGUAAUCACGCGCAGAGUGCAAACGCAUAAGGGGGCUUAACUGCGAGACCGACAGGUCGAGCAGGUACGAAAGUAGGAGUUAGUGAUCCCGCGGUUUAGCGUGGAAUUGCCGUUGCUCAAUGGAUAAAAGGUA